AUGUUGAAGAGUGCACCACCAAACCCCUGGACAUCAAGCUCCUGAGCGACCCAACCAAGUACCAGCAGGAGGAGAAGGUCCUUCUGCUGUGCCUCAUCGAGGGGAAGACGGUGGAAGGCGUCAGCGUGGAGUGGUUGGUCAACGACGCGGUGGUGGACCUUGCCCAGGAGGACUACAGCUGCAGCCAGUGCUCCAACGACCAGGCCGUCUUCUCCAGCCAGGUCAACGUCAGCCAGCAGCAGUGGCAGCACGGGGCCGAGGUCUCCUGCAGGGUGUCCCACCCGUCGCUGAGCGAGCCGCAGGUCCUGGCCACCCGCUGCGUUGGUGAGGCUGAGGAGGUGGAGGGUCCAUGGACAGGGGUCCCCCCGGGGGGGCCGGAGAAGUGGGCCACCGGCCUCUACCGCCUCACCAGCUCCUUGAAGGUCUGCGCCGACGAGUGGAACUCGGGCGAGAAGUUCUCCGUGGCCGUCACCGUCCCCGAGCUCGGCGAGCCAAUCAGGGAGAGCGUUAAGAAAGACCUAG